GUUUCCACUGAAGAGGAGGGGGUCUGAGCCAGGCGCUGGGACCCCGUGCGCUGGGCAGCCCCAGGCGCUGGUCAUAAGGACCCGGGACAGCGUGAAGCAGGUGCUUCCAGGGUGCUCCUCUAGCCCUCUCAUGUCUCUCUCUGGAUCCUGAGGGCGUCACUGGAAAAACACCCAGCAGAACGGUUGGCUCCUGUCCCUGGACUGAGGAGGAGCCCAGUGGGGACCCAGCGCUCUGCCUGCUGCCAAACCCCAAAGUUUUCACCACGUUCCUGGAGGAAUUUAGACAAAUAGGCACCAUCCCCCAAAGACUAGGAAUGCACUUACUGCCAAAGCAUGCCUGGUGUGGAUCAGAGACGGACAUGGGCAUCGACGUCACGCAGGGCUGGAUCCGGCAGCAGCUGCUCCCGAUGUGGGGUCCGCGUGGGGAAACCAGCCACGCACCUGCUGCCCCGUGUGCGGGCGGAUUUGGGCAGAAGCUUCUUCCCACUCUCGACUCAGGCACGUACCCCAGUGUGGGCCACAGAAGUCUGGAUUGUUCCACGGGGACCCGGGCCAUGUGGCAGGACAUGGCGCCUGGCCUGUCAGAGGAUGGAAGAUGUGAUGCUGGAGCUGGAGCAGUCAUCUUGUGACCGUGAGGCUAUGAGCAGAAGGGCAAAAGCUUCAUUCGGGAUGGCUGGACAGAAAGACAGGAAGCUCCGAGGCCCUGUAAGCAGAGUUCGGAGGCUGCCUGCUCUACACUACGCCGCUUGUCACACAAGAAAAGUAA